rnacentral:rRNA from 1 species
GACGAACGCUGGCGGCGUGCUUAACACAUGCAAGUCGAGCGGUAAGGCCCUUUCGGGGGUACACGAGCGGCGAACGGGUGAGUAACACGUGGGUGACCUGCCCUCAGCUCUGGGAUAAGCCUGGGAAACCGGGUCUAAUACUGGAUAUGACUCCAUGACGCAUGUUGUGGGGUGGAAAGCCUUGUGCGGCUGAGGAUGGGCCCGCGGCCUAUCAGCUUGUUGGUGGGGUGANGGCCUACCAAGGCGACGACGGGUAGCCGGCCUGAGAGGGCGACCGGCCACACUGGGACUGAGACACGGCCCAGACUCCUACGGGAGGCAGCAGUGGGGAAUCUUGCGCAAUGGGCGAAAGCCUGACGCAGCGACGCCGCGUGAGGGAU